rnacentral:rRNA from 1 species
AUUGAACGCUGGCGGCAGGCCUAACACAUGCAAGUCGAGCGGAUGAAGGGAGCUUGCUCCCGGUUUCAGCGGCGGACGGGUGAGUAAUGCCUAGGAAUAUGCCUGGUAGUGGGGGAUAACGUCCGGAAACGGGCGCUAAUACCGCAUACGUCCUGAGGGAGAAAGUGGGGAUUUUCGGACCUCACGCUAUUAGAUCAGUCCAGGUCGGAUUAGCUAGUUGGUGGGGUAAAGGCCUACCAAGGCGACGAUCCGUAACUGGUCUGAGAGGAUGAUCAGUCACACUGGAACUGAGACACGGUCCAGACUCCUACGGGAGGCAGCAGUGGGGAAUAUUGGACAAUGGGCGAAAGCCUGAUCCAGCCAUGCCGCGUGUGUGAAGAAGGUCUUCGGAUUGUAAAGCACUUUAAGUGGGAAGGAAGGGCAGUAAGUUAAUACCUUGCUGUUUUGACGGUACCAACAGAAUAAGCACCGGCUAACUUCGUG